CCCGCCCCCCAGGCUCCGCCUCCGCGGCCCGCUUCGCCUUUGUCCCGCCUCCCUGUCGCGCCUCUCCCCAGAGGUGGUGAGGCGGCGGUCUUUCCGGGUCUGCGCCCGCCACUCCCCGCCGCCGCACCCCCGCGGGCUGCCUGCGAUGGGGGAGGGUCGCGGGCUGCUCGCUUUUCUCCCUUCCAGGGCGCUCCCCGCGGCCCUGGGAAGCGGACGCCAUUCUCCUAGACGAGGCGGUCGCCCUGGAGGGAGCGCAGGCGACCGGACGCGGCGCGGUCCCCGGUGGAGCCACCCGGGAAGAAAGUCUCCCAGUUAAGCCGACGCGCAAUCAGAUGGACCAGAAACCGGCCGCAGCGGCGAGGGGAACGGAAACCACUGCCCCGCACCCCACAACGGGGAGGGCGGGACGGGCCCAUCUGCGCCGCGCGCCCCGCCGAGUCGCCGUCUUGCGGUGGGACAGCGCCGAGGCUGUAGCCGGGGGCUCUGGCCAGAGCGAGGUUGACAGUCACCCCCCAGGCCACACCCCCAACCGUGCACCUAUUUAUUUGCGGGCUUUAGGCAGAACACCAGCGAUCCAAUUUGUUUUUAAAUUCUCUUUCAAGAACAAGAACACCACUGCUUUUUCCCUUUAAGGGAAGAAAGAACUUUAAAAUUGGCCGCUAACAGUUAUUCAUUCAGUCGCUAACCUGACUUUCUCGGUGCUGACGUCCACCCCAGUAUGGGAACCUUGUCCCAUAGCAGUCGCAUUAAGCACUUAUCAAUGAGCAGUCUGGGAAGGAUACAAAGAUGAAUGGAGAAGGAAUAGCACCUCUUCAAAACUUACAAUCUUGGGAAGAGUGAGACAAGUACAAAAUCACAGAUUAUGCUCGAGGGAGUUUGUUCUGAGUUGGGAAAGUCUGGGCUUUGGGAGGAGGUAAGAGGUUACUUUGGAGAAAGGGCAGUCAAAACCUACCAUACACAGUAUUUGGGGCCCUUAACUAAUAGCCCAAAUCCCAUACAAAGCCCUUGGCCACACCCUUCUACUGAGAAGCCCACGUCCUUGUACGCAUCUACCUUGCUACAACAAGGUAAUAAACCUAACUCUGCCUUUGUAGAACAACAGUUCCUAUAAUUUCUGACAUUUAGGCUUCAUAAGAAUACUGUGGAAUGGAAAUUAUGAUCCUCACAGGUGAUGUGACUUCUCUAAGGUAAAAAAGAAGAGGCAGAGCUGAGGCUAAGAUCAGAUACCAGGUACAGGUUCUUUCUACAGCUGUCAAUGUCAGUGACAGUGAAAACUGCACCCAAGUUCCCUACUAAACUAGUGUUUUUUUAAAAAAUAGAGUGAUUUAUAGAAACAUUUCAAAUACUCUAAUAUUAAAAUGAUACAAGAGUGAAAGGUGAUUAACUCAAAACCACAAAUUAUCCCUAAUAUAAUUAUAAUUAUAUAAUACAUAUAUAUGUAGUUAGAUCUGACUGGUGGAAGAUACUAAUUAAUAAACUGCCCAAUUAAAUGAAAAACACUCAUUAAAUCUGCACAGCAAUCCCUAGAUUGUUAAACAAAAUGACUAACGUACUUGGUAUAUUAAACUCUCUUAAGUGUGGAAAAAUGGGGAAGGAAGAAUAACAUCUCUCUUCCCAUGGUCCUAAUACACAAAACACCAGCCAGGGAACUGCCACAUGAGGUAUGACUAGAAAAAGAGAGUAACUGCCUAAUAAAAACCUGCAUACACAGCUACAUCCUUCCUGGAGGAGCACAGUACAAC